GUCAAAGGCCUCACUGCGAGCAGUGAGCAUUGAGCUUAACCCACCUGAGAGGGGAAUGCUCUCUGCUGCUAAUGUAACGCAGAAAGGAAACUCCGCUCCAUCACCGAAUAAAUCUCCAAUGAAAACUCUAAUUUUGGCAGAUCCAAUUAGCUACACAAAUUUCCAAUCAUCCCCUUCAAAUUUUAUUUUUCACUUUCCAUCACUUUCACGGGGAAGUAAAAAAUCCAUUCAUGUUUCCCAGGAAAAAUCUCUCUUCAUUCCCAAACCCACCAACUGCUCCUCCAUCAAUUCGCCUGUCACCUCUAAUUCAGUCAAUUAUGGUGGUUGGGACGAUCUGAGACUCGGCGGUGAUUUGGUCAGCUCGGGUGAGUCAACUCUGCUUCGUGAUUUUCUGGUUUCUGGAGGAAUUGAUGAGAAAAAACAUGUUUUUAUGUUUAUAUUGGGGAUUUUCUGCGCUUUUGCCAUUUCUAGGGUUAGGGUUUCGUCAAUUAUCGUAUUUCCUGCCUCUGUAUUGAUUUUUGCUAUUGGGUUUUCAGUUGGGUUUUUCCGUGGUGGGAGUUUCAAUGAAUUUAGUGUGAAUGCAAGUAAGAAGAGGGCAAAAGAUGAAAACUUUAGGUUGUAUGCUGAGAGAUUGAGGAGUUUGGUUGGGGUUUUUGAUGGGUUUGGUGCUAAAUUUAAUGAUUUGAAGAAUGCUAUACAAAGAGCUAUUGAUACUAAAGAGAUUGACGUAGUUGAUUUGGAAAAUUAUAUCAGUGUCAUUGAAUCAAUACAGGCAUCGGCAUUGAAUUCCAAAAAUGUUGUCGAGGCCACCAUUGAUGGUCUAGGAAAUUCUGUCAGUGUGUUGGAAAACCAGAAGUCAUCCGGUAGAAAAAAGAAAGAGAUUGCAGAAGUUGGGUUUGAGAUCUUGCAAUUUGUUGGGGGUUUGUUUGGUGAGAAACUGGUUGACUCAAAGCCUAAUAAAGUGAAAGACAAAGACAAUGUUAAGCAAGUGGCUGUGCAAGGUUUAGCAAAUGAUCAAAGUCAAGGCAACAGCCAGGGUUUAGCAAAUGAUCAAGCUCAAGGAAACAGCUCGACUAUGGUGAUGGAAGGAGGGAUUCUUAAUUCUGUUGAUAAUGACAAAGGAAAUAGGCCUUCCAUGUUUUCUCAAGGUUUAACAAAUAAGUCUGCUUUAGAUUGGGACAGUGAAAGAAGAAUCAGAAUAAUAUCAGAAAAUGCCAAAAUGAACAGAGGAGAAAAAGCCGGGAAUGGAAAAAGAUAUAUUGAUGCUGAAGAGUUUUCUUACCAAAGUAGCAGAUUGCGGUUUGUAGAUAAUCAAUCUAUCUCUUGGAAGAUGAACCAAAAUAAAGAAAAUGAAACAUGGAAAUCCCAUGACAAUCUCCGUAACUCUAUGGAUUUUGAUUUCAGUUACAAACAUAUGGAAACAGAAUCUUCCUUUGUACAAGAGCAGAUGUUGAAGCAAUCUAGUGCAGGUUACAAGUCUUCUCACAGCAGGAAAAUUAAUGAAGAUGAAACUUAUAGAUCUCAAUUCAGAGAAGAGGAGCUAAAUGAUGAUUCCUGGUUGCCUGAUCAUCAUUCAGUAUCAGAAAGUGAAAUUGGUUCCUCUUCAUCUUCAAUGGUUUCAGAUGAUGUGAUGUUUGACAGUUAUCUUACUGAAGCAAACAACCUUCUGAAACAAGCCAAGGAAUGUAUAAGGGGAAAACAUGAUGAAGAGCAUGUGGAGAUUAUACUAUAUAAGUCUGCCAAGUUACUCUCUAAAGCCCUGGCGAUGAAGCCUAUGAGUUUGUUGGCCAUUGGCCAAUUGGGCAAUACAUAUCUCCUUCAUGGAGAACUAAAAUUAAAGAUCAGCCGUGAAUUGAGAACUGUCCUCUCAAGAAGGGAUCCCUUAUUGUUUGAAAACCAACAUAGAAUAGUGAAAGGCUUAGAUGAGCGAGUAACAAAUAAAGAUAAAAUUGCAUCUGCUCUUGUUAAUGUGUGUGAAGAAUGUGAAGAACUUCUUGUGGAGGCAGGCAGAAAAUAUAGGAUGGCAUUAUCAAUUGAUGGGAAUGAUGUAAGGGCACUAUAUAAUUGGGGGCUUGCUCUCUCUUUUCGUGCUCAAUUGAUUGCCGAUAUCGGACCAGUAAGUGUUAACUAUGACAUUAUCAGCAUUUGUAGUAGCUUUUUUUACAACCAUAACCAUUGAUAAAAAGCAACUCUCAUCCUAUUAGCCUUUAGGUGAGCUUGGUUUACCCUUGGUUGUGUGUGUGUUCUUAGAAUUAGCUCAGCUAGGCAGCUUGCUCCUAAGCAAUUAACAUUUUGUGCUGAGUCCUAUAAGUUGCAAUCUGUAUGUUGUUGAAUUUCAGGAAGCUGCUUUUGAUGCUGACAAAGUGUUCUUGGCUGCAAUUGAUAAAUUUGAUGCGAUGAUGUCCAAAGGCAAUGUUUAUGCACCAGAUGCUUUGCUUAGAUGGGGCGUGGUCCUGCAGCAAAGAUCUCGAUUACAGCCACGGAAUAGUAAAGAGAAGGUUAAGUUGCUAAUGCAAGCAAAGCGACUCUAUGAAGAUGCACUCAAUAUGGACUCUAACAAUCUCCAAGUAAGAGAAGCUUUAUUAUCAUGUGUAGCUGAGCUUAAUCGCAGGCUCCUUUAAUUGCUAGAAGUAAUGCGCUCAACAACCCCUCAAUUUUAUCCUCUCCUUGGCCCUCUUGGUUUUCAUUGUUGGGAGUUUUUAUUCACUGGCCAAUCUUAUAUUCUAUGUACAGAAACCAAUCUUACUGUUCUACACAACAAUUAGCCAUCAUCAAAUCCAUGGAACCAAUGUCUAUCAGUUCUCUUUCCUCUCACUCCUCACACCCUUCCUUUUCAGGGCAUGUUCAACUUAGACCACAAAUGAUUAUUGUCAUUGAAAAUUGGUUUUGUUGGUUUUUUCUUAUAAAUAAUGAGGAAUGGAUUGUUAUAAAUUAUAAUUUUGUACGGAGAAGGUAGGUUAGGGAGAUGGGGAAAAAUUUCAGGGUGGUAACUCUGUGUGACUAGAAUCAUAAUGGUCCAUUGCUAGACAUUUCAGUUGUGCAUUUAUGCUAUUUUGUAUUUUCUCCACACGAUAUGAAUGAAAAUAAUGUGUUCUAUUGAGUCCGAG
rnacentral:misc_RNA from 1 species